rnacentral:rRNA from 1 species
AUUGAACGCUGGCGGCAUGCCUUACACAUGCAAGUCGAACGGCAGCACGGGUGCUUGCACCUGGUGGCGAGUGGCGAACGGGUGAGUAAUACAUCGGAACAUGUCCUGUAGUGGGGGAUAGCCCGGCGAAAGCCGGAUUAAUACCGCAUACGAUCCACGGAUGAAAGCGGGGGACCUUCGGGCCUCGCGCUAUAGGGUUGGCCGAUGGCUGAUUAGCUAGUUGGUGGGGUAAAGGCCUACCAAGGCGACGAUCAGUAGCUGGUCUGAGGGGACGACCAGCCACACUGGGACUGAGACACGGCCCAGACUCCUACGGGAGGCAGCAGUGGGGAAUUUUGGACAAUGGGCGAAAGCCUGAUCCAGCAAUGCCGCGUGUGUGAAGAAGGACUUCGGGUUGUAAAGCACUUUUGUCCGGAAAGAAAUCCUUGACUCUAAUACAGUCGGGGGAUGACGGUACCGGAAGAAUAAGCACCGGCUAACUACGUG